GACGAACGCUGGCGGCGUGCCUAAUACAUGCAAGUUGAGCGAUGAAGCUUGGUGCUUGCACCAAUUUGAAGAGCAGCUAACGGGUGAGUAACGCGUGGGGAAUCUGCCUUUGAGCGGGGGACAACAUUUGGAAACGAAUGCUAAUACCGCAUAACAACUUUAAACAUAAGUUUUAAGUUUGAAAGAUGCAAUUGCAUCACUCAAAGAUGAUCCCGCGUUGUAUUAGCUAGUUGGUGAGGUAAAGGCUCACCAAGGCGAUGAUACAUAGCCGACCUGAGAGGGUGAUGGGCCAAAUUGGGAAUGAGACACGGCCCAAACUCCUACGGGAGGCAGCAGUAGGGAAUCUUCGGCAAUGGACGAAAGUCUGACCGAGCAACGCCGCGUGAGUGAAGAAGGUUUUCGGAUCGUAAAACUCUGUUGGUAGAGAAGAACGUUGGUGAGAGUGGAAAGCUCAUCAAGUGACGGUAACUACCCAGAAAGGGACGGCUAACUACGUG
rnacentral:rRNA from 1 species